rnacentral:rRNA from 1 species
CGCCCAACAGCUAGCCCAAAAAACCAACACCAACAAACCCUUAUUAAUAACCCCUAAGUACCCCAGUAUUUAAUUUUAACAAACCAUUUUUCCUCCCUAGUAUAGGUGAUAGAAAAG